rnacentral:rRNA from 1 species
AGACCCGAAACCCGGUGAUCUAGCCAUGGGCAGGUUGAAGGUUGGGUAACACUAACUGGAGGACCGAACCGACUAAUGUUGAAAAAUUAGCGGAUGACCUGUGGCUGGGGGUGAAAGGCCAAUCAAACCGGGAGAUAGCUGGUUCUCCCCGAAAGCUAUUUAGGUAGCGCCUCGUGAAUUCAUCUCCGGGGGUAGAGCACUGUUUCGGCUAGGGGGCCAUCCCGGCUUACCAACCCGAUGCAAACUGCGAAUACCGGAGAAUGUUAUCACGGGAGACACACGGCGGGUGCUAACGUCCGUCGUGAAGAGGGAAACAACCCAGACCGCCAGCUAAGGUCCCAAAGUCAUGGUUAAGUGGGAAACGAUGUGGGAAGGCCCAGACAGCCAGGAUGUUGGCUUAGAAGCAGCCAUCAUUUAAAGAAAGCGUAAUAGCUCACUGGUCGAGUCGGCCUGCGCGGAAGAUGUAACGGGGCUAAACCAUGCACCGAAGCUGCGGCAGCGAACGUAUCACCCAAGACAACUUUACGGAGUUGACGAUUGACGGAGCGAAGCGACGUCAAAGCGUUCAUUAAAGUCGAGUUGGCUUAGGGAUACGUUCGUUGGGUAGGGGAGCGUUCUGUAAGCCUGUGAAGGUGUGUCGUGAGGCAUGCUG